rnacentral:tRNA from 1 species
GCCUCUUUAGCUCAAUUGGAUAGAGCAUCUGGCUUCUAACCAGAAGGUUUAAGGUUCAAGUCCUUAAAGGGGCA